CCAGCACUUCUCCUUCCUGCCACCAUAUGAAGAAGGACAUGUUUGCUACCCUUUCCACCAUGACUGUAAAUUUCCUGAGGCCUCCCCAAUCAUACUGAACGUUCUUUAAUUCCUACAACCUGGAUCUUAUGUUUCUGCUUCUCCACUCUUGUCUUACUGGGGUUCCUGUCCUACACCAUGAGAGACGCCAUAUAUGCUGUCAUGGAGUCCUUGUUGCUCGUGGAGUCCUUGUUGCUACUGUCAAGUUGCUGGUAUGUUGGAAGAAGAUGUUUUUCCCAUAAGCAAAGCCAGAACUCUGAAAAUGCUUUGUUGGUGAAUCGCGGUUUCAUUUUAAGAUUGGGUUCUUGAGUACCAUGAAGUGCUACACUGUCAAUCCAUUAUAAGAUAAAUAGGCUUUUACAGGCUGCAGAAAAAACUGUUUUCAGCAGUAUUUCUAUUAACAAAGUGAACGUGUGUCCCAACAACUAAAUGACAGAUUUCUUAAGACAAUACAAUUUAUUCAUAAACUGGUGAAUGUCUGUACCUUGAAGGACACAUAUUUCAUCCUGUCUGGAGACUGCAGCUUGGGAAGAGCUAGAAUUACCCCCCCAUCAAGAACCCUCCCAACUCUGUGAUUCUAGGGGUGCUGAAUGACAAGACUCUGUAGGUAGGUCAAAAGGGUAAAGAGGAAUCUAUUUAGGUGAAGAAAUUAAACAUUGAUCUUGGUGAUGAAAAUGCCUAAAUCAUUUGCCUUUGGGUAUUAACCUGUCUUCUGGACAAAGGAGGCAGUAGUGCUGGAAUUUUGUUUGCCUG
rnacentral:lncRNA from 1 species